GACGAACGCUGGCGGCGUGCCUAAUACAUGCAAGUAGGACGCAGUUGAGAACGGGUGAGUAAAGCGAAGGUAAAUGCAUAUUAGAGGGGGAUAACUAUUGGAAACACUAGCUAAUACCGCAUACUAGUAGAUGGACCUGCGUGGUAUUAGUUAGUAGGUAGGGUAAUUGACUACCUAGGCGACGAUACAUAACCGGGCUGAGAGGGUGAGCGGCCAAACUGGGAAGGGUACACUGCUCAGACUCCUACGGGAGGCAGCAGGAGGGAAUCGUCGGCAAUGGGGGGAACCCUGACCGAGCAACGCCGGGUUAGUGAAGAAGGUUUUCGGAUCGUAAAGCUCUGUUGUUAAGGAAGCGUUACUUAACGAGAAAGGGACGGCUAACUACGUGCCAGCAGCCGCGGUAAUAC
rnacentral:rRNA from 1 species